AUAUUGUUCUAUUAUACCCGGAGAGUUUUAAUUUGGAACGAAUCGAUGUCAACGUUAACAAGAACCAAAACCAGAACAACAUUAAACAACUCAGUUGCGCCAUAAUGGUAUAACUUUGCAACGAGUACUUUUUCUUAUUCUAUCGAACAAGGAGUAAAAGCUUUUUAUUAUGCCCCGAGAGUGUAAAUUUGGAACGAAUCGAUGUCAACGUUCACAAGAACCAAAACCGGAACUACAUUAGACUACUCAGUUGCGCCAUAACAGUAUAACUUUGCGACGAGUACUUUUUCUCGUUCAAUCGAAUAAAGCGUAAAACCUAAUAAUUUUGUUCUAUUAUGCCUCGAGUGUGUAAAUUUGGAACUAAUCGAUGUCAACGUACACAAGAAUCAAAACCGGAACAACAUUAGACUACACUAUUGCGCCAAAAAAGUAUAACUUUGUAAUGAGUACUUUUUCUCAAUCAACCGAACAAGGAGUAAAAGCCUUCUAUUAUGCCCCAAGGGUGUAAAUUUGGAACGAAUCGAUAUCAGCGUUCACAAGAACCAAAUCCGAAAUAACGUUAGACAACUCAGUUGAGCCCUAACAGUAUAACAUUGCAAUUAGUCCUUUUUCUCAUUCAAUCGAACAAAGAGUAAAACCUAAUAAUAUUGUUCAAGCCCUGAGAGUGUAAAUUUAGAACGAAUCGAUGUCAACGUUCACAAGAACAAAAAUCGGAACAUCAUUAGACUACUGAGUUGCGCCCUAACAGUAUAACAUUACGACGAGUACUUUUUCUCGUUCAAUCGAAUAAAGCGUAAAACCUAAUAAUAUUGUUCUAUUAUGCCCCGAGAGUGUAAAUUUGGAACGAAUCGAUAUCAACGUUCACAGGAACCAAAACAGGAACAACAUUAGACCACUCCGUUGCGCCAUAACAGUAUAACUUUGGAACGAGUACUUUUUCUCAAUCUAUCGAACAAGGAAUAAAAGCUUUCUAUUAUGCCCCGAGGGCGUAAAUUUGGAACGAAUCGAUGUUUGCGUUCACAAGAUGCAAAACCGGAACAACGUUAGACUACUCAGUUGAGCCCUAACAGUACAACAUUGCAACUAGUCCUUUUUCUCAUUCAAUCGAACAAAGAGUAAAACCUAAUUAUAUUAUUCUAUUAUGCCCCGAGAGUGUAAAUUUGGAACGAAUC
rnacentral:lncRNA from 1 species